rnacentral:rRNA from 1 species
AACGAACGCUGGCGGCAGGCUUAACACAUGCAAGUCGAACGGGUGUAGCAAUACAUCAGUGGCAGACGGGUGAGUAACACGUGGGAACCUUCCUAGGGGUACGGAACAACUCAGGGAAACUUGAGCUAAUACCGUAUACGUCCGUGAGGAGAAAGAUUUAUCGCCCUUAGACGGGCCCGCGUCGGAUUAGCUAGUUGGUGGGGUAACGGCCUACCAAGGCGACGAUCCGUAGCUGAUCUUAGAGGAUGAUUAGCCACACUGGGACUGAGACACGGCCCAGACUCCUACGGGAGGCAGCAGUGGGGAAUCUUGGACAAUGGGCGCAAGCCUGAUCCAGCCAUGCCGCGUGAGUGAAGAAGGUCUUCGGAUUGUAAAGCUCUUUUGCCAGGGACGAUAAUGACGGUACCUGGAGAAUAAGCCCCGGCAAACUUCGUGCCAGCAGCCGCAGUAAAAC